AACAAUGUAAUGGUUCAAACGAAUGUGGCUUUCACCAAUGUUGUGCCAAUAAAAAUCUUAAAGGACGGAAAAGAAGAUCUAUCGGUUUUGUUGGAGUUUGUUUACCAUAUGGUCAAUUUGGUGCAGAAUGUGCAGUGAAAAAUCAAAAUGCUAAUGACAACGUAUUUCCGGGUUAUUGUCCAUGUACUUCUCCAUAUAGGUGUAUUGGAACAGGGCAUAUAGAAAAUCCGUUUGGUGAAAAAGGAACAUGCAGAUGGUGAAAAUUUGAAUAACUGUUCCAGUACUUGUAAAGAUCACAGAAAAUUGUUUAGAAAUUUUGCCCAUCAAAUAUUCGAUAUGCAUGUAUUUCCUUAAAAGAGAAAACUUAAUUUUCAUUUACGAAAACGUUGGCAAUUUCAAUAAGAUUUUUUGUUUCUGUAUCAUUCUUUCAGCAAUUUAAAUGUACUUCCAGCUUACCUUUGUGUCAUUUUAUAAUAUUAAUUGAUUCAGUCUUAAAAUAGUAAAGUCUACAAUUCAACCCACAUGUCAACGCGAA